rnacentral:rRNA from 1 species
AUUGAACGCUGGCGGCAUGCCUUACACAUGCAAGUCGAACGGCAGCACGGGUGCUUGCACCUGGUGGCGAGUGGCGAACGGGUGAGUAAUACAUCGGAACAUGUCCUGUGGUGGGGGAUAGCCCGGCGAAAGCCGGAUUAAUACCGCAUACGAUCUACGGAUGAAAGCGGGGGACCUUCGGGCCUCGCGCUAUAGGGUUGGCCGAUGGCUGAUUAGCUAGUUGGUGGGGUAAAGGCCUACCAAGGCGACGAUCAGUAGCUGGUCUGAGAGGACGACCAGCCACACUGGGACUGAGACACGGCCCAGACUCCUACGGGAGGCAGCAGUGGGGAAUUUUGGACAAUGGGCGAAAGCCUGAUCCAGCAAUGCCGCGUGUGUGAAGAAGGCCUUCGGGUUGUAAAGCACUUUUGUCCGGAAAGAAAUCCUUGGCUCUAAUACAGUCGGGGGAUGACGGUACCGGAAGAAUAAGCACCGGCUAACUACGUG